rnacentral:rRNA from 1 species
GACGAACGCUGGCGGCGUGCCUAAUACAUGCAAGUCGAGCGAAGCGGCGGAUGGGUGAGUCACGCGUGGGCAACCUGCCCUUAAGUCUGGGCAACCAUAUGGAAACAGUAGCUAAUACCGGAUAUUAAAGGAUGGACCUGCGAUGCAUUAGCUAGUUGGUAAGGUAACGGCUUACCAAGGCGAUGAUGCAUAGCCGAGCUGAGAGGCUGAUCGGCCACACUGGGACUGAGACACGGCCCAGACUCCUACGGGAGGCAGCAGUAGGGAAUCUUCCGCAAUGGACGAAAGUCUGAUGGAGCAACGCCGCGUGAGUGAAGAAGGUUUUCGGAUCGUAAAGCUCUGUUGUUAGUGAAGCGGUAUUCAACCAGAAAGUCACGGCUAACUACGUGCCAGCAGCCGCGGUAAUUC